UUUAUUGUUUAUGUAUGUUAUGUUUCUUAUUUCUCAUUUGAAUUUGACUUCUAAACGCUGAGCUAGGGUUUAGAGCUUUUGUAUGUUUUGAAUACGAUUUUUCUUUUGAAUUUACCUUCAGUAAUAGUGAGUUAGGAUUUAUUGUUCUUGUGAUCCUUGGGUUAAUGUGUUAGUAUGCUGGAAAUUGAGAUAUUUGUGGCAUUGGGCACAUAUAAACUUUUUAUUCAUUGAGUUGAGCUUUGAGAGUUUUAGCAUAGUAGAUAUUAGUUUACAAAGCUAAUAUCAGGAUAGACUUUUAGCAUGUUUGGUUUUGCGGUGGAAAGCUCGUAGAGGUGCGUAUGUCCAGAAGCUAAGAAUUCUAGCUUCUUAAAAUCAUGUGGAAAUCACAUUGGAACACGCAUUGAAGGGUUGUCGUGGUUUUUUGAUUAUGAUGGUGAAGUAUAUUAUUAAUGAUGUGCUUAGCAGUUUUCCGCGCAUGUAUCAGCUCGCCGAAGGUGGUACAGCUGUAGGAACUGGAUUGAAUACUGUUCUUGGCGUCUAUCAUCACGUGCAGAAAAACAUUGGCUUGUAAUGUGCUCAUAUUCUCCUUUUGCAGGCUGCCCGUGAUGCUUUUGUUGAAACUAGUAGAGUCCUCAACACAAUUGCAGCUUCUUUAAUGAAGAUUGCUAAUGAUACUUUGUUAGUGUUUAUAAAGACUGAUGGAAUUCAAAUGCAAUUAAGUCUAAUGAAACUCUUAAUUUGUGCUGUCUAUUUUUUCGCAGUUAUAUGAAGGCAUUAAGAGACGGUUGGAAGAGCCAAUUUCAGUGGGUGUGGACGAUCAACAGACUUUGAUGCUGCAGCCAGUGCAGAAAAAUCUCUUGAGACAUGCUCACUUGUAGAGCAUAUAUUACAUUUGGAACCAACCGAGGGGGAAGAUAUUAGUGUAUGUGUUUGUUUAGCAAGUUUGAUGUCAUUAUUUGAUGAAAAAGGAGACAAAGCAGGAUCCACCUACAUUGAGUUGAAAAAUUGUCAUUUGAAGGAUUUGCGAAUUUUGUAAAGGAGAUGUUGUUGCUAUUACCAAUGCAUUAGAACGAUAUCAGGAAUUGGAUCCAAGUUUUCUGGAAGGCGUGAAUAUAGACUUUUGGCAGAUGUUGCUGCUGCAAUUGAUGAAGAAGACGUUGGAAAGUUCAAUGAAGUUGUGAAGGAGUUUGAUGACAUGAUUCCUUUUGAUUCUUGGAAAACAAAACUUAAUCUGAGGGAACUUGAGGAGGAUGAUCUGACUUGAAUUGUAUCUUAGUUUUGUGAUGGUUGCGCUUCAGGUUUGAUUGUCUAAAUGGGAACUCUAAAAGCAUUCGGGUUUGUUCAUGUAGAUGCCUACUACAAUUGAGGAGUUGGAAGCAGCAAUCUUAUUUGUCAAUCGUAACAUAUUGGAACAAUAUAGAAGAUCUUGCAAAAAAAACUCAAUGCAAACAAGAAGGAAUCUAGAAAGUGUCUAGCUGAAUUGGAUGAUAUUAAGGGAAAAUGGCUUCCAACACUCAGAUAAAUGAAACUUUUGGUCGAAAUUUUCAACAGAUAGCUGUUGUCGGAGGGGUUUCACUAGAUGAGCAUGAUAUGGACUUUUGAUCAAUUUGGAAUUUAUAUAACAGGUGACGGUUGUUCUGAACCAGUUAUUUUGUUUAUUCCUUUUAUAAGAAUGUGCUUUCAUAGCGUCACUACUCUUUCUUAUUAUUGGUUGAUGUAACUUCUGGUUACCAGUCAACUUCAAUGUUAAGAGGGAAACCCAACCUACACAAUUACACAGUUGUUGAUUCUAAUCAUGAUUUAGGUCACUUCUAUGGUAAAAAAACCAAUUUUUUUAUUUUAUCAGAGAAAAUGAACUGCUUGAAGUUUUCAGUGCUCAUCACAAGUCUGGAGGGGUACUACUACAUGGAUUAUUUUCUUAUUAGUGCAUUUGUGCUCGCCCCACUCACUAAUUAACCUUAAAUAUUGGUUUUUCCAGGACUUUCAACCAUUGUUUAUCUUGUUUCCCUUCAAGAUCUUACGAACUCUCCAUUUAGAGUUGUUGAUGAGAUCAACCAAGAUGUUUGAGCAAUUAGUGAGAGCGUCAAGCAAGCCAAAUACACCAUAGUGAGUACCAACUAAUGUGCUCAGUUCCCCCAUAACGCGAGAGUGACCAUUAAUCUUAUGUAGGUGUUUCUUACUUACUCCAAAGUUGUUACCAGAUCUGCAAUAUAGCUGAGGCAUGCCAUAUAUUGAAUGUAAUGAAUGGUCCUUGUAUUGAGCAACCUUUAAAGGUCUGGACUACGGGUGAUCCAUGGAGUAUUAUCACCGGGCAUGUUGGAGAGAUCAUGUGUCAAAUCCCAUGGAGUUGCAAUGGGAAUUCAUAGCAUUUGUUUAGCAUUUUGUAUAGUUUUUUGGACAAAAAAAACAAAGUUUGCAUGGGAGGGAACUUGUUUUUUUCCCUUCAUUAAUUAUAUUGGAUAUACAUAACAACAUAAACAUACAUUUUUUUUGUUACUGUAGUAUUGAGGAUUAAUAAAUAUUUCUUCUAUUGCUUGUACAACGGUAAGGUUUUAAUGCAUCUUAUUUAAUUUUGUAUUUA